UUUAGAGUUUGAUCCUGGCUCAGGACGAACGCUGGCGGCGCGCCUAACACAUGCAAGUCGAACGAGCGAGAGAGAGCUUGCUUUCUUGAGCGAGUGGCGAACGGGUGAGUAACGCGUGAGGAACCUGCCUCAAAGAGGGGGACAACAGUUGGAAACGACUGCUAAUACCGCAUAAGCCCACGGCUCGGCAUCGAGCAGAGGGAAAAGGAGCAAUCCGCUUUGAGAUGGCCUCGCGUCCGAUUAGCUAGUUGGUGAGGUAACGGCCCACCAAGGCGACGAUCGGUAGCCGGACUGAGAGGUUGAACGGCCACAUUGGGACUGAGACACGGCCCAGACUCCUACGGGAGGCAGCAGUGGGGAAUAUUGCACAAUGGGGGAAACCCUGAUGCAGCGACGCCGCGUGGAGGAAGAAGGUCUUCGGAUUGUAAACUCCUGUUGUUGAGGAAGAUAAUGACGGUACUCAACAAGGAAGUGACGGCUAACUACGUGCAAGCAGCCGCGGUAAAACGUAGGUCACAAGCGUUGUCCGGAAUUACUGGGUGUAAAGGGAGCGCAGGCGGGAAGACAAGUUGGAAGUGAAAUCCAUGGGCUCAACCCAUGAACUGCUUUCAAAACUGUUUUUCUUGAGUAGUGCAGAGGUAGGCGGAAUUCCCGGUGUAGCGGUGGAAUGCGUAGAUAUCGGGAGGAACACCAGUGGCGAAGGCGGCCUACUGGGCACCAACUGACGCUGAGGCUCGAAAGUGUGGGUAGCAAACAGGAUUAGAUACCCUGGUAGUCCACACUGUAAACGAUGAUUACUAGGUGUUGGAGGAUUGACCCCUUCAGUGCCGCAGUUAACACAAUAAGUAAUCCACCUGGGGAGUACGACCGCAAGGUUGAAACUCAAAGGAAUUGACGGGGGCCCGCACAAGCAGUGGAGUAUGUGGUUUAAUUCGACGCAACGCGAAGAACCUUACCAAGUCUUGACAUCCUGCGACGGUUCUGGAAACAGAACUUUCCUUCGGGACGCAGAGACAGGUGGUGCAUGGUUGUCGUCAGCUCGUGUCAUGAGAUGUUGGGUUAAGUCCCGCAACGAGCGCAACCCUUAUGGUCAGUUACUACGCAAGAGGACUCUGGCCAGACUGCCGUUGACAAAACGGAGGAAGGUGGGGAUGACGUCAAAUCAUCAUGCCCUUUAUGACUUGGGCUACACACGUACUACAAUGGCGUUAAACAAAGAGAAGCAAGACCGCGAGGUGGAGCAAAACUCAGAAACAACGUCCCAGUUCGGACUGCAGGCUGCAACUCGCCUGCACGAAGUCGGAAUUGCUAGUAAUCGCAGAUCAGCAUGCUGCGGUGAAUACGUUCCCGGGCCUUGCACACACCGCCCGUCA
rnacentral:rRNA from 1 species